GACGAACGCUGGCGGUGUGCUUAACACAUGCCAGUCGAACGGAAAGGCCUCUUUCGGGGGGUACUCGAGUGGCGAACGGGUGAGUAACACGUGAGUAACCUGCCCUUGACUUUGGGAUAACUUCAGGAAACUGGGGCUAAUACCGGAUAGGAGCUCCUGCUGCAUGGUGGGGGUUGGAAAGUUUCGGCGGUUGGGGAUGGACUCGCGGCUUAUCAGCUUGUUGGUGGGGUAGUGGCUUACCAAGGCUUUGACGGGUAGCCGGCCUGAGAGGGUGACCGGCCACAUUGGGACUGAGAUACGGCCCAGACUCCUACGGGAGGCAGCAGUGGGGAAUAUUGCACAAUGGGUGGAAGCCUGAUGCAGCAACGCCGUGUGCGGGAUGACGGCCUUCGGGUUGUAAACCGCUUUCGCUCAUGACGAAGCUUUGUGUGACGGUAGUGGGUAAAGAAGCACCGGCUAACUACGUG
rnacentral:rRNA from 1 species